CUAGGAGGCCUUGGCC
rnacentral:miRNA from 1 species